rnacentral:rRNA from 1 species
UACGAAGGGGGCUAGCGUUGUUCGGAUUUACUGGGCGUAAAGCGCACGUAGGCGGAUUGUUAAGUCAGGGGUGAAAUCCUGGAGCUCAACUCCAGAACUGCCUUUGAUACUGAGGAUCUUGAGUUCGGGAGAGGUGAGUGGAACUGCGAGUGUAGAGGUGAAAUUCGUAGAUAUUCGCAAGAACACCAGUGGCGAAGGCGGCUCACUGGCCCGAUACUGACGCUGAGGCACGAAAGCGUGGGGAGCAAACAGG